CUUGCAUCUUUUAAGAAGUGCCUUAAAACCCAUCUCUUUAAGAAAGCUUAUGGCCUCCCAGACUAACCUCUAUCUCACAUACCUGUCUAUUGCUCUCUCCAAAGGGCAGCCCACCUUAUUUGACUGCUAAUUCCUGUCCUAAUGUGUUUUACACCCCACCUUCUAUAGAAUGUAAGCUCGAUUGAGCAGGGUCCUCUUCAACCUAUUGUUCC